rnacentral:rRNA from 1 species
UACGUAGGGGGCAAGCGUUGUCCGGAAUCAUUGGGCGUAAAGAGCGUGUAGGCGGUCCGAUAAGUCCGCUCUGAAAGCCCGGGGCUCAACCCCGGGAGGCGGGCGGAUACUGUCGGGCUAGAGUCCGGAAGAGGCAAGUGGAAUUCCCGGUGUAGCGGUGAAAUGCGCAGAUAUCGGGAAGAACACCCGUGGCGAAGGCGGUUCUCUGGGACGGUACUGACGCUGAGACGCGAAAGCGUGGGUAGCAAACAGG